UAAAUCAACCUGCAUCCACCGAGAGAUUAGACACCGACCCGCAUCAGGUAAUAAACAGAAAUGGCUUUCUGGAGGUCUUGGUCUUUGGUGUCACUGCUGAUGUUGGGCAUUACCCUGUCGCUGGUGGAUGAAAGUCAAGCUGUUCCGACUUGUCCUUCUGGUGCUGAAUGGUCAUCAUGCUCGGGGUGUUCUGCAUACUGCCCCAAACCCGAUAUGGCAUGCGCAGCCGUGUGCGUAGACGGCUGCGUAUGUGUCCAAGACGGAUACCUCAUCCAUGACAACGGAUGCAUCCCGCUAGCUCAGUGCCCCAAAUAGCGGAUAAGCAGAUGUGUACUUACCUUCUGACUGAAGAAGAAGACGCAUAAGCGAAUAUUUGAUCCAAUAACCUCUGCGACCCGAACGCACCACGUCAAACCGUUGUGCAUUGAUGGCGUGCUGUCGUGGUGUCCCUUACCCUACAUUCUAGCACUCAAACUUGUCUCAUUCUUCUCAUGCAUUAAAGAUCUUCAUCCUA